AAGCCUGAACGCUGGCGGCGUGGCUAAGACAUGCAAGUCGUACGGUGUAGCAAUACACAGUGGCGAACGGGUGAGUAAUGAAUCGCUAAUGUGCCCCGGACUCUGGGAUAGCUGACCGAAAGGUCAGGUAAUACCAGAUGACAUAACCUUUCCGCAUGGUGAGGUUCUCAAAGGUCCGCCGGUCUGGGAGCAGGCGAUUUUGUAUCAGCUAGUUGGUGAGGUAACGGCUCACCAAGGCGACGACGCAUAGCCGGACUGAGAGGUUGGCCGGCCACAUUGGGACUGAGACACUGCCCAGACUCCUACGGGGGGCUGCAGUAACGAAUCUUCCGCAAUGCACGAAAGUGUGACGGAGCGACGCCGCGUGUGGGACGAAGUUCUUCGGAAUGUAAACCACUGUCAGGGUAAGAAAGUUCUGAUCUACCCCAGAGGAAGGCACGGCUAACUCUGUGCCAGCAGCCGC
rnacentral:rRNA from 1 species